rnacentral:rRNA from 1 species
AUUGAACGCUGGCGGCAGGCCUAACACAUGCAAGUCGAGCGAGCGGCGGACGGGUGAGGAAUGUAUGGGGACUGCCCGAUAGAGGGGGAUAACUACUGGAAACGGUGGCUAAUACCGCAUACUAUCGGCUGACCCCUAUGGGAUUAGCUAGUAGGUGGGGUAAAGGCGCACCUAGGCGACGAUCUCUAGCUGGUCUGAGAGGCGGGUCAGCCACACUGGGACGGAGACACGGCCCAGGGUCCUACGGAGGCACCAGAGGGGAAUAUUGGACAAUGGGCGCAAGCCUGAUGCAGCCAUGCCGCGUGUAUGAAGAAGGCCUUAGGGUUGUAAAGUCCUUUCAGCGGGGAGGCGUUACCCGCAGAAGAAGCACCGGCUAACUCCGUGCCAGCCGCCGCGGUAAUAC